rnacentral:tRNA from 1 species
CUUAGGGUAAGCUAAGACUAAGCUGUUGGGCUCAUAACCCAAAAAUGGUUCAACCCCCUAAAA